AGUGAACGCUGGCGGUAUGCCUAACACAUGCAAGUCGAACGGCAGCACAGUAAGAGCUUGCUCUUACGGGUGGCGAGUGGCGGACGGGUGAGGAAUACAUCGGAAUCUACUUUUUCGUGGGGGAUAACGUAGGGAAACUUACGCUAAUACCGCAUACGACCUACGGGUGAAAGCAGUGGAUCUUCGGACCUUGCGCGAUUGAAUGAGCCGAUGUCGGAUUAGCUAGUUGGCGGGGUAAAGGCCCACCAAGUCGACGAUCCGUAGCUGGUCUGAGAGGAUGAUCAGCCACACUGGAACUGAGACACGGUCCAGACUCCUACGGGAGGCAGCAGUGGGGAAUAUUGGACAAUGGGCGCAAGCCUGAUCCAGCCAUACCGCGUGGGUGAAGAAGGCCUUCGGGUUGUAAAGCCCUUUUGUUGGGAAAGAAAAGCAGCAGGUUAAUACCCCGCUGUUCUGACGGUACCCAAAGAAUAAGCACCGGCUAACUUCGUG
rnacentral:rRNA from 1 species